GGUAGCUCAGUGCUAGAGCACUUGCCUAGCAUGCAUGAGGCACUGGGUUCAAUCCCCAGUACCA
rnacentral:tRNA from 1 species